rnacentral:rRNA from 1 species
CCCUUAGAUGUUCUGGGCCGCACGCGUGCUACACUGACGCCUACAGCGAGUACUUCCCAGCCCCGAGAGGUGGCUGGUAAUCAGCAAUAGGCGUCGUGAUGGGGAUAGAUCUUUGGAAUUAUGGAUCUUGAACGAGGAAUGCCUAGUAAGCGCAGGUCAUUAGCCUGCGCUGAUUAAGUCCCUGCCCUUUGUACACACCGCCCGUCGCUCCUACCGAUUUCGAGUGGUCCGGUGAAUCUUUCGGACUGCGCGCGGCCUCGUGCCGUGUCGCGGAAAGUCAGGUAAACCUUAUCACUUAGAGGAAGGAGAAGUCGUAACA